rnacentral:rRNA from 1 species
GACAGAGGGUGCAAACGUUGUUCGGAAUUACUGGGCGUAAAGCGCGUGUAGGCGGCUCUGCAAGUCGGAUGUGAAAGCCCUCGGCUCAACCGAGGAAGUGCACCCGAAACUGCAGAGCUAGAGUCUUGGAGAGGAUCGUGGAAUUCUCGGUGUAGAGGUGAAAUUCGUAGAUAUCGGGAGGAACACCAGUGGCGAAGGCGGCGAUCUGGGAAGAUACUGACGCUGAGGUGCGAAAGCGUGGGGAGCAAACAGG